ACAACACCGCAGGGAACACGAGCAGCCUCGUCGGAAAACAGAACCACUAAAACGUCAAAUAGUAGACAUGUCGAAAAACGAGCUACAACUGACUCUCGGACUAGUCAAUUGUCAAAUAGGCAAAAAACAUGAAAGGUUCAUGGUGGAAAGUACGUGGUUAAAAAUCACAAGUUAAAAGAAAGUUAUUCCUAAAUUGAUUAUACUAGUUAAAAUGAUAGAUAUAUUUAGUGAAUUUGUCGAACUACAGCCACAGGACACAAAACGGAUUAAAACGAACAACACGUGGGUUAAGAUUCGCAGAUAAAAGGCAGAAUAUCUAUUGCAGGAGGAAGAGAAACUAAAUCUUUGAUCUACUAACAGCGAAGUUGAUCCAAAGAAUUUCUUUCCGUAACCCAAACACUAUCCCUAAGGAAUAAAUGGAAAUCAAAUCGCCAAAUGUGGACUGUUUAGAAGCUGACUGAAACAAAAGCAAAAUAGCUGAGGGCCUGUCCGUUUAUUCUGCUGAAAAGCACGAUAUCACUUCUAGGUGGAUUAAUUCGAUUUUUUAAUUAUUUAAUGAACAUUCGGGAUGAGUUCGGGACCUAUCUCACCAUGGAUGGCAACGACUGGCAGGGCACUUCGUAUUUUACUUCCCGCACGAAGAAAGUGAGCUCCGAAGUGAAGUUUGUUUCACACACCAAGUUCCCCAAGAAGGUGCUGCUGUGGCUGACAAUCAGCGAGAAGGGGAUGUCAAAGCAGCUCUUCUUUAGUUCCGGACUGGCUGUGAACGGGGGAAUUUAUAGUACGAAGUGCCUGCCGGAAGUUGCGUUAUUCAUCAAGAAAUACCAUAAGGGCGAAGACGCGGUGUUCUGGCCGGAUCAGUUGGAAAAUAUUAAUACUGAUUGUCUAUUUUUUUUAUUUCACGACAAAAAUAUAUUAUUUUCUAACUUUACAUUUAACUUUUAG